UCAGGCUUUUUAAGGGAUCUAGCUAGAUUGUUAGGUUUGCCCAACCUUCUUGCCAGCCAUAGGUUUUUAUCUUGUUGAGUGGAUGAAUUCAGUUUGAGCAGAAGUUUACGUAACAAAGGUGUAGAAGCAAAACUAAGCACAGCUAAGCAAAGCAAGAACUUCAAAGACUGCGUGGAGUAGACUGCCUCAAAGUGGAGAGCAGCACGCGAUGCUGUAUUGUGGCUUUUAAGGAAGUCUGCAUGAAUAUUUAUGAGGUGCUUCCUCCUAUAAUCGCCACACAAGAUGAGGGAUGCAAAUGAUAUUACAAGGGAGUGAGGCCUUUUGAGGCUGCAGACCCUUUGUUACCGCACACGUGUGGGAGGAUGCCCUGGAGAGUUUCUUUCUGCUCCGGUGGGAACAGCCUCACUACAGCUUCAAGACAUUCAACCACAAAGGAACCGCGGCGGAUACAGCUACCAAGAUGCAACGGUGGUUUUCCUUGGUUACCUAACGUCUAGCACCUUGCCAGGAGCUGGGGGCGGUCCACUCCCGGUAAGAGUUCCUCCUCAGGACAAAGGUGAGCAGAAGCUCUGCUGGGCCUCCUCCUGACCCACAGGACUGCUAUUGGCAUCUUCAGUUGUGUGUUCAGAAAACAAACAAACAAACAAACAAACACCCCUCCCCCAAGGAGUUACCUACAGUCUCAGGUAUUGUCAUCAAUCUUGGGAGGUUUCCUAUCUUUCCCCAGACAAAGAGACUAACAUCUGGACUCUUUUCCUCAUCUCUCGGGGGAUGGUCACAGCAGAAGAACUUUUUGAAAUCCUCUGACCUUGGAGUAUGAGGGUCCAUACCCAAAACCUGGUAUUUGGUUUUCAUAAGGCCACUGUGAGCUUGAUGGUCUUUGGGCUCACUGAUAGAGCUCAGGCAACUUAAAUGUCAUUCCUUGGUUUAUCUAUGGCACUUCAAGAGUCAUGGCAAGUAUUUGCUAUAUUUUAAUGAACCUUUCCAUCCUUGGCAAAGGUAGUGAUGUCCUCCCCGUCACCAAUGCCUUGUUUGGUUUUUGUUUUUCCCCUUCUAGGCUUGUCUCAGACUCACGUUGUAAAGAAUGACCUUAUAUUUCAGAUGCUUUUGUCUCUGCAGGUGUGUGACAUCAUCCUGAUUUAUGCCAUACUAAGAAUUGAACCUAGGGCUUUGUGCAUGCCUGGCAAGCACUGUACUAGUUGAGCUAUACUUUUCUAAACUCCUGAGUUUGUCCUUAGCCUACAUUGGAACAGGAGGACUAUGCUGAAGGAAGCAGCUCUAUCACUGGGAAGAAUCUGAACUAAUGAAGCAAAGGGUGAGACCAGGACAAUGAAGACCCCCACACAGAGUGCACAUCUAGCCUUACUGGGACCCAUUCAACACUGCAGCUGAAUUGGGUAUUAAGUAAUCACUUAUUUAACAAGAGUUUCAAAUAUUGUAGUUAAGCAGACAAAGGUUGGGACAGAAAUCAACAGAAAAGAGUACAUGUGCCAGCAGACUUCCUUGCUAGUCAUAAGCAGGAAAUGCAACAGAAAGCACGUUUGUCAACGGCACAGGUGUAUUUACUGUCCACGUGUGCUGGACCGGCCAACUGCUAUGAUCUAUGUGUAGCUCUUGGGAUUGGUACAGUAUCUGCAGAGUGCAUAAUUUAAACACAAAGCUUCUUGACUUCAUUUAGACUGCUCUGUAGCAGGCAAAGCCCUUGAAAUAAGACUUCCUUCUACGUUGGGUUCUAAGUUUCAGUCCUGGCAUCUGAUUUUUAUCAGUUUUGUAUAGACUUUAUGUUUCAUAUUUUAAUCUCAAAUCUAGCAUUGUAUAAAGUUUGGACAAUUUAUCCUGAAGCUUUGUAUCUGGCUGUACCUGUAUAAACUGCUACAGAUAAAAAUAAAGCACGCACAACCUGUA